rnacentral:rRNA from 1 species
AUGGAGGCAUUGUCAAACGCCGUUGCUGACAGGAUUGCUACGGCAGGAGGUGGUACAGGGAACAAUGCACUGCACUUUAAAUUCAACGCAGCUAAGAAUCCCAUGCGAGGCAACUCAAAAAAUAAAGAUAAAAAGAAAAUGGGGCUAAACAGAGAUGAGGAUGCUCGUAAGCAAGUACUGGGGGAAAAAAGGGGACACUCUUUUGGCGUUCGUCCGAUGGGUAGCAAUUUAGAGUUCUCCUUUGAGAAAGAAAUGGAGAGCUAUGAGCACAUUAUAUACGGCGAUGUAACCGUCUCGUCCAAGCGGGUGUGCACUGGUAGGGUUGAAGUAGUCCAGAACAAGGAGGGAGGGGUUACACACAUUGCAAAGGAGUCCAAGCGGGUGUGCACUGGUAAGGUUGAAGUAGUCCAGAACAAGGAGGGACGGGUUACACACAUUGCAAAGGAGACUGACAAGAAGGAGGAGUAUGUUCCGCAAGGUGUGGAAUCUGUUGGUGAAGGGAAAGAUGAAAAUGGCACAUCGGCGGCCCCCGAGGAGGGGGACCGCCGCGCAAAAUGA